ensembl:lncRNA
AUGUAUUUGUGUACAUACUAUAUAUGUGAGUGUGUGAGAACUGCAAGGCUGUCACACUCCCCUCUCAUCUUUUUCCUCAGGUCAAGAGAGCUGGCUGUCAUCCAUCCAUCCAAAAAAAAAAAAAGCCUAAGAUAUAAAGUAACUGAGGAACAUGCCUGUCCUGGUUUCCCGGCUGCAUUGAUUGGAGCAGAAAGAGCUGAUCCAGCAGAGCAGCUCGAAGUACGACUCAUCCUGACCCACUGAAGCUGAAAACAUGCACAGAAGACAGACCAACAUUUACAACACUUUACUUACUCCAGCAUCCUUCUUUCUCUCUCUUGUGGUACUGCAUUGCACUGCAAUGCACAUUUGAACAGUGCUGCUUUAACCUCAUCAGCAAACUCCAUUACACUAUGCUAAACUGAACUAAAUUGAACUAAAUUUAAAGUAUAGGACAGAACUGAAUUAAUAAAAAAAACUGAACUAAAUCA